UACGUAGGGUGCAAGCGUUAAUCGGAAUUACUGGGCGUAAAGCGUGCGCAGGCGGUUGUGCAAGACAGAUGUGAAAUCCCCGGGCUUAACCUUGGAACUGCAUUUGUGACUGCACGGCUAGAGUGUGUCAGAGGGGGGUAGAAUUCCACGUGUAGCAGUGAAAUGCGUAGAUAUGUGGAGGAAUACCGAUGGCGAAGGCAGCCCCCUGGGAUAACACUGACGCUCAUGCACGAAAGCGUGGGGAGCAAACAGG
rnacentral:rRNA from 1 species